rnacentral:lncRNA from 1 species
CUGCCCUCAUGGUUAGAGCCCAGAAAGCAAGAGAGAAAGCCUUCUCCAGCCUGACCUGAGCCCUCCCUCUUCUGUUCCUGACUCUCAUCCGGCAGUAGCUUCACUCACUGAUCGUGGUUGGAGCCCUUUUGAGCUCUGGGGAAGGAUGGACAGAAAGAAGAGUAUCCCCUGGUUCCCCUGAGUUAUCAAGCCCCUGUGGGAGGCAGUUGGGAGGGACAUGAGGCAG